rnacentral:rRNA from 1 species
UACGUAGGGUGCGAGCGUUGUCCGGAAUUAUUGGGCGUAAAGAGCUCGUAGGCGGUCCGUCACGUCGGGCGUGAAAAUCAGGGCUCAACCCUGGACCUGCGCCCGAUACGGGCGGACUAGAGUUCGGUAGGGGAGACUGGAAUUCCUGGUGUAGCGGUGAAAAUGCGCAGAUAUCAGGAGGAACACCGGUGGCGAAGGCGGGUCUCUGGGCCGAUACUGACGCUGAGGAGCGAAAGCGUGGGGAGCGAACAGG